AAUACCUGGGGGGGAUGACGGUACCGGAAGAAUAAGCACCGGCUAACUACGUGCCAGCAGCCGCGGUAAUACGUAGGGUGCAAGCGUUAAUCGGAAUUACUGGGCGUAAAGCGUGCGCAGGCGGUUCGCUAAGACAGAUGUGAAAUCCCCGGGCUUAACCUGGGAACUGCAUUUGUGACUGGCGGGCUAGAGUAUGGCAGAGGGGGGUAGAAUUCCACGCGUAGCAGUGAAAUGCGUAGAGAUGUGGAGGAAUACCGAUGGCGAAGGCAGCCCCCUGGGCCAAUACUGACGCUCAUGCACG
rnacentral:rRNA from 1 species